CUUUUCAGCUUUUUCCUACGUACUUUGACGGGCUAUUCUGCCUUUCUUCUUUCGCCAUUUGGCACUAACUUCAUUACCCUUUUCACGUUUUGCUUCCCAGGAAGUGGAUCAGCAUUGUCAAAUAAUUGGCUCACCAGGCUUCCAAACAAGUGCCUUUACAUGCUAGUGCUUCUAUCUUUUAAGGAGGCUUAAACUGCAUAAAAAUGGAGCUUGGAAAAUCAAUAGAAGAUCAAUUCUCCAAGCUGCAUCCAAGCCUAGCAGUGGACACAAGAAUUGGAAUAGUAGGAGCAGGUCCAAGUGGC